AGUACUGUGGCGCAGUAUCGGACGACGGCGAUCCUCUCAUACAGUAGCGGCAAGCAGCUGAUCGUACUUUGUGGUUGAUCUUCUUCAGUCAUUCAUUAGCGAGUUUGGUCUGGACUAUGACAGAGCUGCAAAUAGGGAGACGUUGGUAGUGUGACAGCUCUGGAUAUUUAUUAGGCAGUUAUUUGGAUUUCCAAUUUUUGCAAUUCCCUGGCUCUGAAUACUGGCAGUUCAUUGGAUUAUAACAAUCAA